rnacentral:lncRNA from 1 species
GUUCCAGGUACCUUACAUGGAAGCAGCUGGGUAAACAGUGAUUUUGAGGCAUUAACACAUCAUAUUUGUACAGCAAUGAGAGUUUUGAAAAACAUUCAUCCUUCACACUCAAAGUGAAGCCAGACAUAACAUUUACUAAAAAGCAAGAGUCUAGUACAGUGUUGGAGAUGCAUCCUGCCUCGCCCAAAUUUCCAAAUGUUUGCUCCACUAUUCUUUACAAACAUCUCAAGGAAACUUCAACAACUUUUCAGCUUGUUUAAUGUUAAUGAAAGUGAAUAUCCCAAUGUUCUGAAAAAAGCAAAAACUGUCUUUCCAGCUGCUUGGCCUGAUGGAAGUAUAAAGGCGGGCUUUUAGUAUGCAGCAAAGCUGUGCGUGAUGUCUCUGAUUUUAAAUGUUUCACCCAAAAUGUAAUACGACUAUGUUUAUUUUUUUCUCUUUUACAUGAGGGAAGUGUUUCCAUAAGACCUGGAAGACAAGACAUAAUGUGGGGACACAAAGGCAGAUGAAGACUUAUUGCUCAUUCUUCUUUUUUCCACUUCCUGAAAUAGACAGUCCUUCCCUCCUGAUCCAAACCCGAUUCAUUGUGUCAUAUCUAACUAAAAUGGCACCUUUCCUAAGAGUGCUUGUUCUUUGUGACUCCAGGACGUUCUAUCAGCCAUUGUUGUGGAUACCCUUCCCCACACAUUUUAGAGCUCCAAGUACAGCACAGUGAUGGCAUUUCAUGCUCCUUGGAACCUGUGAGGUGGGUGCCACAUCGUCUUCACUUUUUGGAUGUGAAAGCUGAAGCUCAGAGGUCCUGUCACCAGUCUAUGUGUCAAGGUCAUACACAUCAGUUAGUGAACAGCCAGGGUCUGCAGCCUCACUGUCCAGCUUCGGGGGGCUCCACGCGGAAACUCCCUGCAGUUCUCUGUUCUCCGCGGUAACCUCACUCGUGGAUUCCUUUAAGGCCUAUUCUUUUAUCUUCAACUAAACCAUGAAUCCCUUGAUGACAGCUUUUGUCUUGUACUUUUUUUUACAUCUGGAUAGCCACUUCACAAAAGAAUACCUGCAGGAGUCUAUCAUACGUGCACUGAUUGAGAUGGAUCAUGUGAGGAUAUGUAAAACCAGAGACUCAAAAAAUAGCAAACUGAACAUUUAGAUAAGGUAAUCAUUCUAUGGCUUAUUGGUGGUAGUUUAUAUUAAUGGUCAUUAUAAUCAUGUUGUUUCCAAGCAAAUAACACAAUAAGAAAAUAAUCCAGUAAUACCCCUAAGCUUUGUGAAUGUGUUAUGAUCAGUUUUAUGUAAGACCAUACUGUAGUAAGUUAUGGGGGGGGUUGUCCAGUCACUCUCAUGUGAGUGGUGUCAAAACACAUACUCACCCCCACCCUGAGUCGCUGCCUUGGGUCCCAUCCAGCAAUGACUGUGAGUGCCCCAACACCUGAGCACACAGAUGCUCUUAUUUCAGAACCCACCCAUGUCAGGGAAGCCCCUGUCUCCCAGAGGUCCUUUCAGUCUAGCCAGUUCUAGGGCAUGGUCCUUUCCCAGGAUGCACACUGUGGGCAUCUAGGCAUGGGGAGGGAGAGUGGCCACUAUUUGUAUGUGUGGAAUUGGCCACCUGGGAGAAACUGAGAAGGGUCUGAAAACGUCUCUCCACAUUCAGUUAUUAUGGAGCAGUAAUGCAGGCAAAACUGUCCCUGGAAUCAGUUCAUGGUAUAACCCAAGUGUCACAAAGAAAGGAUCAGGGCAGAGAAAGUGAGCUUUGUUGGAACCUGGGGUGAGUGGGAAGAGCAACUGGGAGAUGAGCGACACAGGAUAGGGCAGGGGCUAGAGCAGAGAGAGGGGGAGGGCGCUGGCCCAGGAGAGAUGACCACACCAGACUAUGUGGACCCCACCUGAGGCACAGCCCUAAGAGGAGUUGCAGCAAGGGGAGCUGGUGUCCCCAUUUCAGGAAGGCUCCCUUGACAGGUAGGGAAUGUGGACUUUCCGUAGAGUAAUGCUCUGUUCGCCACUUGUCCAAAUAGUAAUAAAUCACCAGUAAAUUCCUGGUGCUGUUUGGAAGCCUUGGACUUCAAAGCCCCAAAUUCACAAACAGGAACCUUUCAUUAACUCUGGAAAAAGAAUUUCACUUUAUUUCAAUUUGUGUAUUUGGUUAUUUAGUGGAAGCAUAUAUUGCUGACCAACAUGACAUUCCGUUUUGAAUCAAGUGCCUUUUAUUCUAGAGCCAUCAGACAUUGAAAUUAUGUGUUUAAAUGCUUGACCAGCCUUCAUCUGUACCAAAUGUUUGAACUUGCUUUUAUAAAAGAUGAGACAACUUUGUGUUUUAGUUUUUUUUUUAAAGCUGGUUUUAUUCACAAGAUACAUAAGACCAAAAAACCCCUCAGAGCUGUAACAUUUUGAUUUUCCUGGAGUUCAAAGUACUACCUUUCUCCAUUAAAUAAUUUAAAGCAUCUUUUUUGAGAGAAGGGAAUAAAAGCAAGAUCUAAUCUGGAAUUGAAUGCCUUGUGGUGUGUUGUUUUGCUGGGGCCCGUCGCCUUGUUCUGUCUUUAUUUCUCCUCUUUUCCUCCCUUCUCAGCUAUGCUUGGGUAUCCAAUGUCAGAAUUAUUUCUUUCAUCAGACCCAUGCAAAUGGAAUAAUAUUCUCUCUGCUGAAUGUCACUGUUGCUUGGACCUUUUAAAGUUAAGGUCAAACAUCCCUUUUUGUUUUUAUUAAGAAGCAUUGCAUCACACAGAGAAAAUAUUACACACUGAUCUUUAACAAGAGUACUGUAAAGCAAAUUGGGAUCGAUCUUAUUUUCAGCUGGGACAACCAUUUCCUUCAGGCUUGACCUGAGGAUCAGAUGUUUGACUCUUCUAGGAAUCAAGGUGAAGAUGGAUAAACAUGCAAGUUUGAAAGAAAGCAGGAACAAGGCAAUCCAACUUGUAUUUUCUGUAAGCUGGCGGCAGAACAUUUAACUGCCAGCUCCUGACAAGGUUUGGAAAACUCAUCAGUGGGAAAGCAGCCAAAACACUGCUCAAGCAUGGGUGGUCACCAGCAGCAAAGGAGGGAAAGCAAGCCAGAAAGAAAGAAGGAAAGAGAGAGUUUUUAUAUAAGUGCUUUCCCAUGAUGUUCUAGCUAUGUGCUUUACUAAAGCAGUGUAACUGUCACCAUCCUGCUGAAAGCUCAAAUUAAGGUGAUGCAAUGAGGAAGCAUUUCAUAUUAAUAACGGCAUUAAACAGAGACAACACAUUAUCAUCUAUGCAGGCUUGGCUGGGCUGGUGUGCACCUUACUUCCUAGUUUCAAGAAUAGAAUACUCA